rnacentral:rRNA from 1 species
UACGUAGGGGGCAAGCGUUGUCCGGAAUUAUUGGGCGUAAAGGGCGCGUAGGCGGAUUUUUAAGUCCGGUGUGAAAGAAUAGGGCUCAACCCUAGAAUUGCAUUGGAAACUGGGGAUCUUGAGGACAGGAGAGGAAAGUGGAAUUCCACGUGUAGCGGUGAAAUGCGUAGAGAUGUGGAGGAACACCAGUGGCGAAGGCGACUUUCUGGACUGUAACUGACGCUGAUGCGCGAAAGCGUGGGGAG